UACGAAGGGGGCUAGCGUUGUUCGGAUUUACUGGGCGUAAAGCGCACGUAGGCGGGUUGUUAAGUCAGGGGUGAAAAUCCUGGAGCUCAACUCCAGAACUGCCUUUGAUACUUGGCAACCUAGAGGCUGGAAGAGGUUAGUGGAAUUCCCAGUGUAGAGGUGAAAUUCGUAGAUAUUGGAGGAACACCAGUGGCGAAGGCGGCUCACUGGCUCGGUACUGACGCUGAGGUGCGAAAGCGUGGGGAGCAAACAGGG
rnacentral:rRNA from 1 species